GCGAGCGGCGGGCGCCGAGGGGCCGGGCCGGAGCCGAGCCGCGGCUCGGCGCUGCCGGGGCGGGCAUGCACAACAAAGGCGGCGGGCGACGCGUCCCAGGCGGGCUCCGCAGCUUUCCCAGGAUUCCCACCAACACCACAGAGUAUCCAUCAAUAUCACCAUAGCAACAAGAAGUCAUUAAUGGUAUCCUGCCUAUUGACAGUCAGAAUCUACAGGGUGCUGAUCUGGGUGAUUAUGUUAUAACCUAUGAGCACAGAAAGUCCUGAUCCUCACGUUUCUCUGCUGUCACCUGUGGGCUCCUCCAGAGCCGUGAAGAAGGGGGAACUCCAGCCCCACCAUGAGAAGACCGGCUGCAAUGCCGAGACUGCUGCCAAAUCCCCCUCCAAGGGGCAGUGUGAUCUGAGGGAAGCUGAUCUCCCACCUCUGGAGGACAGCCAGCAGCCCACAGCGAUGUCCAUGGCAACAGAAACCUGGGAGGACAAGCCAAGCAAUGAGACAUCCAGUGACACUCCACCUGCAGGGAAUACCCCCAGUCCUGCCUGUCGCCGAUCCAGCUCCGACAUUGUCCACGAGAGCACGGACGGUGCCAAGGCCCAGCGGGAGUGCCGGCUGCGGCCGCACUUCAGCGACCCGAUGCCGGCAGACUCGGUGAAGAGGAAGCAGCUGGAGCUGAAGAUCGCGGCUGCGGUGCGGCAGCACGCUCAGAAGCGCCGGCAGGAGCGAGACUGUGGUCCAGUGGUAGCAAAAGCCAACCUUGGCUAUGGUGGCAGCUUUGAUGAGACCCGACGCACCCCACGGGGCUCCCUCCGCUCCAGACGUCACUGGAGCAACGUCAGCAGUCUGAGCACGGACAGCGGGAUUGUUGGCGUGAAUGAUGCCCGGGAUGACCUGGAUCCCACUGCGGCCACCCGGACCAAGUCAGCGGAUGUGGAGAGGGCAGACAGUGGCAUUGGCCAGAUGCCAGCCAGGAAGUGGAGGAACAGGGCAUCUGAAACGCUGAGCUCCCUGCAGGCCUGGGAAGCCCACCGUCCCUGCACCGACUGUGGAGAAAGGGACCUCCCGGUGGAGACAGAUGUUCAGAACUGCAACCAGAGGCGGGCUGAUCUCUGCGAGAAGUGCCGCAAGCGCAGGACGGAGCGCAAGGAGUCCGUGCUGGAGUUUGUCAACACGGAGGCCAGCUAUGGAGAGGACCUGCGCAUCAUCAAAGAGGAGUUCUACCUCCCCAUGCAGGCGGCUGGGCUGCUCAGCCAAGAGCAGCUCCAGGGCAUCUUCAGCAACAUCCAGGAGCUCAUUGACCUCAAUGAGAACUUCCUGGAGAUACUUCAAGAAGAGAUUGAUCAGGCCUUUGAUCAGGGGGACGAUGACCUGAUGACCGUGUGCAUCGGAGAAAUAUUCCUGGAAUUUGUGAACAUGCUACCAGCCUUUCAGACAUACUGUCUUCAGCAGUCCUCCUCGGUGAAUAUGCUCAAUGCUCUGGAGAAGGAGAAGGAGUUGCUCAGAAUAUUCCUCAAUGUCUCCCAGAAUGACAACACAGCCCUGCGGCGGAUGAACCUGCGGUCCUUCCUGAUGGCCCCUUUGCAAAGGGUCACCAAGUACCCGCUGCUGCUCAGCAGAAUCAUCAAGGCCACCACCGAGUACCACCCAGACCACGGCAGCCUGCGCGAGGCCAAGAGCCGCAUCGAGUCCCACCUGGAGCACAUCAACAUGAAAACCAAGCAGGAGGGGAACACGUGGACCCUCCGAUCCUUUCGCCAGGACAGCAAGAAGAAGAGGGAAGUCAUCAACAUCGAGAUGAGAGAAACCGCCCUCAAAACUGUCGGUUGGCUGCGGGAGGAAACGCGGUUUGUGAUGGAGGGGUCUCUGCAGCUGGCCCAACCCCCCGACGGCCAGUGGGUGAAGAAAGGCAGCAAGACCCUGAAGUUCCAGAACAUGCAGGUCCUCCUGCUGGUGAACAUGAAGCGUGUGUCCGAGUCCAGCCUGGAGUCAGCUGAGCCAGGGCCUGUGAAGGACGCAGUGCUGGUACUCAUCAGGGACAAAAACAACGGGAAGUUCCAUUUGCUCAGGGAGCCCUUGAGGCUGAGUAAUUGCAUCGUCUCCACUGAUCCUGACUGCGACGACACCUUCGAACUCAUUGAGAUCAGGCGGGAGGCGUUUGUGUUCCGGGACAGCGACCGGGCACGGACUCACCACUGGUUCAGGCAGAUCAGGCGCUACUCCAGGGAGCUGGGCUCCUGGAAGAAGCGGCGGAACGCGCUGCCCAACAUCAUGAUCAGCACUCCUCACACCAGGCCCUGAGUCCUGCACCGGCAGGCUUGGCUUCACCAGUGCCGCAUGCAAAGACCACCAAGAGCCCCGGUGCCUGAACUUGCUCCAGGGACAGCACAGGGAGGAGCCUGGACCCCAAAGACUCUUACUAGCACUGGAAGCAAAUGCCACAUCCUAGUGCUGAACUCCAACCUCUGGACUCACAAUAGUUUGUGGCUCAUGUACGUACAGAGAUGGGCUCCACUCGAGGAGAUCACUGAAGGAUAAUAAUUUAACUUGUUAAUGUUGCACUGCAGGAGAAUGAUGUAUGAUGCUUGCCAUUGCAUGGAUCGUGUUGAAAGCCAGUCUUGACAAUGAGAGAGGUUUCCACUAUUGACUGUAUUUCAUCAGCAUUAGGUGGCUAUUUUUUAAUAUUUGUAUUAUGGAGAAUGUGUUUCACUUCAUAUGGGUGACAUUCAGAUGAGCAAUGUGCCUACAUCUGCACAGUGGAUCCCCUGAACAGAAUUCAGGGCUACUCCAAAUGAGACUGGGCAUUUAUUUCAGAGGAGGAUUCACACAAGCACAUUUAUGUAUUUCUCCAGAAAUCAACCAGUAUCAAAGGUCACCACCACUGAAGGCAGACAGAAGACAUCUUCACAAAGGUAUCCCUAGUCUUGUAAAGUCACCACUGACCCAGUAUUUGAGCAAGCCUCAAACUGUGCCCUGUGCUUUGUCCUCUGGCCUCCGCUGCCAGGGCUUGUUGCACUGUUCCAGGCACUGCGGCAGACACCAGUGAUGUGUGCCUACUGGCUGUAUUUUCUCUCAUUCUGCACCAACCAGCAUUUUAGUGCUUCAUCUUGUCCUUGAGGAAAUGGGAAGAUUUGCAUCAUCUGGAGGGUACCCAAGACAUGAGCGUGGCCGCACACAGCUGAGCUCUGUAGCAAGCAAGAGCUGUCAAAGUGAUUGUCAGGGCAGCAGCCUGGCUCCCUCAGGUGAGCUGGAAUUCCCUCCAGCUUUUUCUAAUCACUAGACAAUAAACUGUUCCCUCAAAACAUGCACUGAGCAGCCAGUGAAGAGCAUGAGGCAUCGCUUUUGGUUUGCCAUUUGUUUUUCACAGAGACAGAUGCUUGAGCAGAGCAGCUGCUGGAGGAGGAUUUCUCUUAUGCUGUUGUGACAGAUCUCAUUUAUGAGCCUUCAAGCCCCAUUCACCUCACAUGCAAAAAACAAUAGCUUGUAGCACCUUUGUCUUCUCUCCAAGACCACAAUGGCACAGCCACCUUCUCUUCAUUUCUCUGGGGCACCACUGACAAGAGAAGGCAUAAGUACAGUAACAGCCCAAUUUAUCCAAACAGUGAGUGGUUUUCACAGCCACAAAGCUCUACUUGCUGGAAAGUUUUCAAUUACUUUCCAUGACAGUGAUUUUCUUCACCUCAAUUCAUGCUUGAAACUACUAGUGGACCAUUUGUACAGUCAUAUCUUUAAAUCAAGAUACCUUUAGCCAGCCUGGCUGUUCAAGAAGGUUAGAGAACAAUAAGUACGUGAAAGGUCUGAUAUUUAGCAUCAAUCUUAUGUUUGGCUGAUUGUUCAGUUUGUCAGAUUCUGGGUUUUUCUAGGUAUCACAGGAAGCACCUGCCUGCCAGGCUCCUGUAAUCAUGGCCUAUUUCCUCUGAAGCAAACUCUCCCCAGAAGAAGGUCCAUGAAUAAUCUCCGGGUAUUGAGUUAUGAGCAGGACGUGUGCUUGGUGCUGUAGCCCUGUUCUAAAGAACCUGUUGUACUUUCUGUUCUAAGGAACAGUAAGUACAAGCCCUUUGAUCUGGGACAGCUAUGGGAAGCGACAGUGGGAUUGCUGAACCUGUCAGACUGGACAGUGAUUGUGCUUCCAGCACACACUACUUUUAUGUACCUGGUGUGUGCAGCUGCUCACCUGCCUGUAAAUUACAGGUGUUGAAAGGGGACAUGAGCAGGGAACAAUCCCUGUGGCCCUGUGAGUGCCUGUGGUGUGGGGUGAGGCAGCAGAGGAAGGGCAGGAGUGUCAGUACACUGACAAGGCAGUAGAUUUCCAUAAUCCUCAGGCACCCUUCUGAAUGAGAUGAUCCCUCUCCUGGAAGUUCCAGGUCUUUCAGUAUCACAUGUACACAUCUUACUUGGCAGACUUGGAGAUUAGUUGCGCUGUAUUUUUCCAUUUCUGAUUAGCAAACUGACAAAAUGCUAUUAUAACCCCGGGUACUUGGAACAGGGUUGUCUGCAAGCCAAGAAAGCAAUUAUUUGUUCCAAGCUUGCCGUCCUCCUAGGUCUCUGUAAUAUUUUUAUGCCUUUCAUUGUCAUGACUGACAAUACUAAGAUUACUUUUCAAGACUCCUGCCCACUGAACUUACCCAAGUAGUACAAGCAGACCUUUCUGGAAGUACUUCUUGUCAGGGGAAAAAAGAAAAAGUUGGUUACUCCCUUGAUUUACCAGAACUCAUAAAUGACCUUUAAAAAGGAUUUUGUAUAAGACUUACUGGUCAUUUACCAGGAAAACAACAAAAGACAGUCUUUAUUUUUAGAGUCCAUGUAGUUUUGAAUUCUAAAGGCAGACACAGAAGACAACAAAACACUGGACUAAGAGCCCUCUAUGACCUCAAGUCCCAAGGAAAGAAGGAAUAGCUCCUUUAUGAGUCACGAGGCUGGGUGGGAAAGCCUGAAGAAAACAUGUGGAGAUGAAGAGCAAAUACCUCAGAGGGCAGACACUUCUGCUUUAGUGAAUAGAGAUCCUCUCCUUCAUGGUGUCCUUGUACUUUCCUGGUUGUCAUUGAAAGAAGUGCAGAUGGGGAAGAGGUGCUCAGUGUGGAUCUCACAUUUGAUCAAGAACACAUCUGAGAGAGAAAACCAGCUUUGGUCUGGCAGCAAGCAGUUGUCAUUGGAGACUAAGAUUGACCUCAGCAUACACCAAAUCCUGAAAAAAACUCUUGAGAUCAUCUCAGAUCUCCUGACUUUGCUGCAUGUGAAUUUAUAAUGCAACAGAAUUCCCAGAAAUAUUUUUCCCCCCAGCAGGAGAUUCUGGUGAAUCUUGCACUGUCCUGCUUUUUCCUGACAUGUUCAAAAGGAAAAAAAUUAAAUCUUCUAGCACCGUGUCAAAGAUCCCUUCAGGGCUCAUGGAUGAGGCAGCUGUAACUCAUUUUGUGAUCUCUCAUGUGUGUGCUGAGGAACUGGGUAAGAUUUAACUAGGCUGACAUUCUCUGACUUGAAACUGGAAAAGCCUGGAACUGAAAGCAACAGAGGAAACUGUCCUCCCAGAGAUCAGAUAAAUAUUCAAAGCUCUCUCUGUCAUUGAGUGACCUGUCACUACAGUGGAGUAUGGAGGAGCAAAAUGUCUUACUGAUCAGGCAGAUGAGGGAACUGCCUUAUUUCUCACAUGCUGCUGCAGAGGAGCAAUCUGAUCAGACAUAGGUACAAGCAACGAAGAAAAAGGAAGUUUUGACAGUAACACUGUACAGUCAAAAAGCUCCAGGCAAGCCCUGAGGGCACUCAUUAGAAAAGAAUAGACCUCCCCUGGGAAGGUGAAGGUGAUCCCCUAAGGAAAACCUUUCUACAACAUGAUGGAAAGGUUGAGUGAUGGGAACUGAGUUCCUGUUCUUCAGCAGAGAUGGAACAACACUUUGGGGCAAUCGAAACACAGGCAGAGCAUCCUUCAGCACUGGUCUCUGCCCAGGCCUGACUGGGAGCAGUUACACAGCUGGAAAGAGUUGAAAAGAUGGCAUUAGGCUCUAGAUCCAUUAGCAAGGAUUAACAUCAUAAUUUCCAGCUCAAAUCCUGCUCCAGUGUGAUCUCCACCAGUGCAGGCUUUGCAUCCCUGAGAAAUUAUCUCAGCUGCAAUUGAGAAGACCCAGCCUGCAAACAGGCCUCUCAGGGAAGGUUCUCUGCAUGGAAUCAGGCAAAGGAUUUGUUUGCACUGGAGGCCCAGGUGGCUUGAAGCCUUCCCUCCUAGGACAGGAACUUCCCUUGCAGUGCCAGUCACAUCCCUGGGAAGACUUGCAGGGGAGCAGAGCACCUUGCAAAGCUGAGGCUCUUACAUUUUCCCUAGGUUACACGUUUGUACACCCAGAGUGUGAAUGUGCAGGUGAACAAGCACUCAGACAAGGAGUGUAUUCCUCCUUUCAAGAAAGGGCUGGUUUUCACACAGCCAUGUUCCCCUUGGGCAGGGCAAGCCCCCAGGGCUGACAAACCAAUGGGACCCAGGAGUGCCAGUUUGAAGUGACAAUAAACAGGCAAUGAAGCCUGCAAGGAGAUGCCCAUCUUACCUAACUCAUGCCUGACCCACAACACACAGACAGGAGGUAUAAAACAGGAGUCUUCCUUUUGAAAUCCAAACACUUGUUUCACAGCACUCUCUGAAUUCAGCAGGGAGGAGACUCUGAACACCCCCUACACUCUUUAGUAGAGCUGCACCCUGCAUCCAGUGCAGCUCUCUGUAUUAGAGCUGCAUCCUGUGACAGUACUUGAACAAGAGAAGAUGGACUGCAGAUGGGUGACAGGUCAGGAUCCACAGACCCCCAGCAUCAUCCACAUUCACUUUCUGCUCCCCUUAAGUGCCUUGGCGUGUAAUGAUCUUGCUGGCUGAAAAACCUGAGUGAGGCUCUGUAGGUCAUUCAGUUUACAGUGAAAUGAAGGCAAAUUAUUUGUUCAGAGAGAAGAUCCUUGGCAAUCCUCUCAAAAUGGGAAGCAGUUAAAUUACUGCAAGAAAAAUCAAACCAUUUUUUUCUCUGAGCUGUAACCACACCGUGUUACAGCUCAGAGAAUACUGAAAGCUGGCACUGCAGGGAGAGGAAGCAGCCUCCUUCCAACACACUGGCACAGCAUGAAGGGGACUGUGUGAUGCACCACGUCAGGAGCAAACACUGCUGAAAAAUAAAGAUUGUUUCAGUUAAGUCAGUUCCUUGAUCCAGCUCACUGCACAAAGAUGUUUGCUGGCACCAGGAAAGGGCAGCCUGGAGGUGAUCAGUGUCCUCUGACAAGUGCCAGUUUGAAGAGGUGGCUGGGCUGGCUGCAGUUAAUCAAUUCCAGCAGGCAGAGCCCAGUUCAAGAGCCAGCCCCAAGGUCUAUUGUGCAUCCUGCUCACCCCUGCUUCCCAAACUGUUUCAGGUCAGCACUUUCAUUGAUCUGCUGGGCUUCAACAGGCAGGGCUAUAAAUAAAGAGCUAUUAAUCAACUAUUUAAGUACCCUUUUUACUGAAAUAAAGAAAACCCACAGAAAUGACAUCAAGAUGUGAAAAGUCCAAACAAACAAGUUAGUGAAUACAAAGACAUCCAAGAGAGCACUCCCAGGAACACACUUGAGGCUGAAGUGGCUGAGGGAACAGCCUGCUGGUGUUGAGUCAGACUCUCCAGUGCUCUGCGCUCACUCCCCUCCCAGCUGCCAGCACACACUGCGCAUCCAUUCAGUACCAACAGGAGUCACUUGUUCAGAGUUCAAGUGCAUCUGAUUCACCAUGAGCCAGCAAGCUUCUGCAGUCCACUGCCAUUCCCUGCUCCCCCCUCCCCACUCAACUCCUUCUGGGUUUUCCCUUCUUCCCUCUACUCCCAGCUGUGGGACAGGAACACAACUUGCCAUUUAGAUAAAAUGGUACGUUUUACCAUUACAGAGAAAUGUGCAGAUUCCUUGUCAAGGUCACAAGGUCCUACAGGAUCCUGUGUCAGGAAGCAGACCUGCUGCAUGACCAAAUGCAACUGGAGCACCUGGGAUGCAAGCCAGUGCAAAGCCUUAACCAGCAGCUGCCCUGACACGUGGCCUCACGUGCCAGGAGCCCUCUAACCUAAGACACACCAAACUGAUGCUCGGGUAACCCUUCUCUAUUCCCCUGCUCCCACGAAUUCCUGUGUGACCUUGAUGUGCACAGCUGUGUCUGCACAGCCUUAGGGUGUUGGUUCAGCCCCCAUCUCUGGUUUGGGCAGCAAAACUGGCUUAAACUCCUUCCUUCCUCCCACUGCCACAGUGUUAAGAAAUGAGCAAACACUGGCACAGGGCAAGAACAAAGAAAUACUUUGAAAGCUGUUACAUUGCUGCAGGGCUCAGGAAGUUACACCCUCAUUUUCUUCAGCUGUGAAAGGGGGAUAUUGCCAUCUCCCCGUGCUAAGUGACAGAAGAUACAAAGGAUGAGGACAAACAUGAAAGAUUAGGAGACGCACUUAGAAUAGUCUUGCCACUUCUUGGGUUGGUAAGGAUAAACUCCAUCGCUCUCCUGUUUUUAUUGGUGAAAUUGCUCAAAGUUUAAAAAAAAAUUAAAGCCUAUGAAAUCUGUUUGCAGCUUGACUUUGCACUUGGCAGUGUUUAGAAGUGUGCCACUGAACAACUACAGCCAAGGGGAGGAACUCCAUUAUUGUCCAAGGACAGCUGAAGGAUGAACUGAAAUGCUGGUAUUCAGGAGAGGUUCCCAGCAAGGGAAGCAAAUAACAGCAGAUGAUCAGACAACAGGCAGAGGUACCAAGUGGCCAUAAUCAAAGAACAGCUUUUAUUGGCCAAAAUAACCAAGAAACCAUUUUCUUCCAAAAAACAACAACUCCCUAACUCAGUGGUAAAUCUUCACUAAGGAACCAAAACGCAAACAAACUCUGCAUAAACUUGACUGUUCCCAUUCAUCCUCUGAAGUAUUCCUCCUCCAAAGUCAGCUGUUCUCCUUAACCCCCUGUAUCACCAGAAGUAGGAGAAUGGUAAAACUCAGUCAUUUAGGACAAAAGAACAAACACAUGGGGAGGCAUGAGUCUGUCCACUUACACACAUGAAAGAGGCUGUUGGUGUUUGCAAGCAUCUUACAUCCUUACCUGAAAGCAGGAACUUCCCCGUUUCUGGAGAUACAAACAUUUUACUACACAAACUAUAGUUUUGGGGUGGUUUUUUGUUUUUAAUCCCAGGAUACAGGUACAGCUGUGGUGUGUACAGGUUGUUACAACUCAGACACCACCUGCAGUUUGUCAGUUUACACUUCUCUAUUCAGAAAACUUGGAAGUUAAAAAAACAUAAAAAUUGGUUACUCUGAGUUCUCAAGGCAAAUCAUCAUUUUAAACUCUGCAUUUACUCAUGCCAGUAAAACAAAUACCAGACAGAGAAAGAAGGUAUCUAAGAAAACCUUGCUUUCUCUGGUAACUGAAAUCAUGGUGGGGAAAAAAAAACAAACACGAGAGAGAGAGAGAGAGAAGAGAUAUGUCAGGGUGAAAGACACCAGUUCCAAUAGAGGAAUUCUCAGAAAUAUUUUCACUAAUUUCUCAAUUACAGGGUGUACAUUAUGAGAAACCAUUAAAAAAGAGAUCUGGUUCAUAAACAGUUAUGCAAAUUUGUUCAACUUAUAUAGGUGAAAAUUUAAGAAACAAAAAGGAAAAAAAAAAGUGUCUUAAAAAAAGGUCUGUAUUUACACACUGUGGUUCUUAGAAGAUCCCAUGUGUCUGCACUGAGCUGAGUGCUGUGCACACACUUCUGAGGGUGUGUGAGCAGACAGCCACAGAACUUCCCAGACAGCAGGGAAGCAACACUACAGAACUAAUGGGAAUCUCAGCUCAUGGGAGUUACUGACUUCUAUUGCUGCUGUGCAGAGAACGGCACCGUAUGUUUGACAGAGGAAUUCCACUGGAAACAGUCUCCUGUCCUAAUCUAGACAUGAUUUUACAAAACAUCUAACACCUGUACUACACCUUUUGUAAGAAAAUAGAGAGCAGCUUUGAGCUGCAGUUCUUCUAAACUACUGUAGGAAGGCUUCUCUAGGUACUUCCUAAAUUGGCAGCCAUCUGAGGUAAUCAGUGAUGCUGUUCCAACGAGCACCCUCACUUCUCCCCGCCUGCACCAACUGUUGCCUCCUUAUUGAGUCCUCUGAUGGACAGGUCAUAAACCACUUCCUCAAUUUUCUUGACAUCGUACUUCAGGCCAUCGUAGCGUUUCCUCAGGGAGUCAUUCUUCAGGUUGAGGAGGCGGAAGCCGGAAUCCAGCUCGUUGAUAAAGGUUGAGAUGCGGAGAGGGCGAGAGUAGUCCCCAGCUGUGACACUGUUCACUGCCAGCCUGGCCUGUGAGAGGAGACACCAGGGAGCACAGCACCCACAUCACAUCACAGCCCCCAUCAGUUACUGGACCAACGAAGCACCUGUGUUCCUGGCAGUCAGAUUAUUUGUACUUAGCUCUACCUUUUUGUUGAGCACAGUUCUGGAUUUUCAAUCAAAUGACUAGUUUAAAUCUUAAAAGUAUCACUGAGGAACAUGCAGAGAAGCUUCUUGCUACAAGUUCAGAUCAAGGUGUUGUGUAUCAUAACUGCCAGGAACAACUCAGGAAAGCUAAAAAACACAUUACUUCGGUUUUCAAGGUCAGUUUCAAACUAAAUGCAUGCAUACAUUUCUUUCUUACCAGCUCACUGGCCAGAGUUAAUACACCAGAAAGAUAAUCUUCAAUGUCCAGGUGAAAGCCCCGUUCUCGAUCAGCUUCAACUGAGACAAAAACAGCAGUGAUGAGGUGGAGCUGAGCAUGAGCAAACCCAGCCACCUUAAAUUGCAUUUGUUUACUGGUGCUAAUUUGAAAUAUCAAAUUUAUGAAAUACUAUUACAUAAUAAAAGCAAGCCCUUUCCUGUAUAUGAUGUAAUUACAGCCUCUCUGUUCUUGAUUCAGCAUCUUGUACAUCCUCAACUGUACAUCCAA